AAUUUUUAAUGAGCAAAGAGCAAAGAGGGCAUAAAGUAAAUACUGAGAUUUACAGCAUGAUGCAAUAUAUCCCUAAACUAUUUGUAGUGCAUUUAGUGGGACAGACUACAUCACUCAUAAAAAAUUCUCAUAUCACACAAUUAUAAGAAAGGAGCUUUUAAACAGGCAUCUCUUCGCAUAGGCACAAGAAAACAGUACUAAAGAUCAAGCUAAUUAAUGCACGCAUGCUUGUGUGUUUAAUCCUGCCGAGACAACAAUUCAUGGAUUGACAAAGAAAAACAUGACCCACAUGGUUGUUAAUAAAUAGUUUGAUUGGAGCAAUGCACGAGAGAGAAAAUACCUGUUCAAGUUUUUCCUCAUGAG
rnacentral:misc_RNA from 1 species